CAAUAAGCGGAGGAAAAGAAACCAACAGGGAUUGCCUUAGUAACGGCGAGUGAAGCGGCAACAGCUCAAAUUUGAAAUCUGGCCCUCGGGUCCGAAUUGUAAUUUGUAGAGGAUGAUUUUGGUGCGGUAUCUUCCGAGUUCCUUGGAACAGGACGCCUUAGAGGGUGAGAGCCCCGUACGGUUGAAUGCCUAGCCUCUGUAAAUCUCCUUCGACGAGUCGAGUAGUUUGGGAAUGCUGCUCUAAAUGGGAGGUAAAUUUCUUCUAAAGCUAAAUAUUGGCCAGAGACCGAUAGCGCACAAGUAGAGUGAUCGAAAGAUGAAAAGCACUUUGAAAAGAGGGUUAAAUAGCACGUGAAAUUGUUGAAAGGGAAGGAUUUGUGACCAGACUUUUUCUGGGCGGAUCAUCCGGGGUUCUCUCCGGUGCACUUUGCCCAGUAAAGGCCAGCAUCGAUUUUCGGCGGCGGAUAAAAGCAGUGGGAAUGUGGCUCCUUACGGGGAGUGUUAUAGCCCAUUGUAUAAUACGCUGCUGGGGAUCGAGGUACGCGCUUCUGCAAGGAUGCUGGCGUAAUGGUUAUCAAUCACCCGUCUUGAAACACGGACCAAGGAGUCGAACAUUUAUGCGAGUGUUUGGGUGUUAAACCCUCACGCGUAAUGAAAGUGAACGGAGGUGAGAGCCCUUACGGGUGCAUCAUCGACCGAUCCUGAAGUUUUCGGAUGGAUUUGAGUAAGAGCAUAACUGUUCGGACCCGAAAGAUGGUGAACUAUGCGUGGAUAGGGUGAAGCCAGAGGAAACUCUGGUGGAGGCUCGCAGCGGUUCUGACGUGCAAAUCGAUCGUCAAAUCUGCGCAUGGGGGCGAAAGACUAAUCGAACCAUCUAGUAGCUGGUUAC
rnacentral:rRNA from 1 species